AAAACAAGUGAUUACGAAGCACCAAAUAGCUUCUCUACACGGAGGACUCAAACACUUGGGACGUUAGUGAUGCAGCCAAUGGGCAGCUGCCCGCCACUGUCACUCGCCUCCCCCGUGGUCACACAGGGGAGAAUUAUUGUGGCCCAGCUCAGGUCUGAGUCAUAAGCAUUUUUUGUUUUUUUGAGACAGAGUCUUGCUCUGCCAUGCAGGCUGGAAUGCAGUGGCGCAGUCUCAGCUCACUGCAGCCUCAACCUCCUGAGCUCAAGCAAUCCCCACGCCUUAGCUGGGACCACAGGUGCGCACCACUGUGCUGGGCUAAUUUUUAUAUUUUUGUAGAGACAGCGUUUUGCCAUGUUGCCCAGGCUGGUCUCGAACUACUGAGCUCAAGCAGUCUGCCUUCUUUAGCCUCCCAAAGUGCUGGGAUUACAGGCGUGAGCCACCGUGUCCGGCCAGCAUCUUGUUGGCUGAGUUCUUCAGAUGGUUUGUAUGAGAUUCGGUUCCUGGGGCUUCGUGUGAGGGAAGUGGCCUCUGUGUGAAGUCUCCAUUCCUGCUUCCCUCUGGGAGACUGCCCUUGGCCGAAUCACACACUCACUCGGGCACCCAUCAUGGCAGUUCUGCUCCUCCAUUAGCUGUUUUCUUAGGUUCCCAGCAAAGACCCUGUUGGUUACCUGAGAUGCUCCCAGUCCACCUGAGGAGACGUUUACCUGGACACAAUCCCAUAGGGUGCGGACACAGUACCAUGGGAACUCCAGCAAAGAAGAGUUGCCCCCUCUGUUAUGUUUCAGUCCUGACUUAGGAAUUUCAUGAGGGGUCUCAGUUGUCAGUUCAGAAGAUGAGAAAGGACCAGGAGAGCCAGAUAGCGCCCAUGAACUCUUCCCUCCCUCGAGACUGCACCAGUCAGAGGUCAAACGUACACGCAGGCCACGUCUCAGAAGAUGAAAUCAUGGACGGAAGCCACACAUGGUCACCACCAAGCUUUCACUUGGCAUCGAGCCCUUCCAUACCUCCGUACAGUGAGGGCAUCUCCAGCACUGAUGGAGGCUAGCCAGCUGUGUACCUGGAUUUGUUGGGUUCCGAGAUUAGCUGUGCAUGGUUGUUACAUUUUGUCAGUAUCUUAGGAAAGUAUGAUAACGCUGAAGUAUGUUAGCAUGGGAAGGAAGGACAGCGCUCAGUGGCUCUUUGGUUAUAAAUUCAGAGGCUCAGCCUCAGAACUGGAGGCUUCCACCAGGGAGGACAUGCAGGAGUCCUCCGAGCCUCACAGCUGGCCCUGUGCGUGGCACUCGCAGAGGCUGGGGAAAGACUGGGCCUUGCCUGAAGCAAGGUUAUCACAGUUCCGUCCCUGUGACUGUGGGAGUUAACCGUUGAGAAGGACUGGCCAUGGAGUCCCGGCUACUUGGGAGACUGAGGUGGGAGGACUGCUUGAGCCCAGAAGUUCAAGGCCAGCCUGGGCAACAUAGACAGUGAAAAAAAACAAACAAACAAACAAAUAGAAAAGGGAGUGAGGCCAUCCUUGGUAGAUGGAGUUCCUGAGAUGUAAAUUGGAGAGUGGAGUCCCUGGAUGCCACUGUUCAGGUUUCUGGGAAGCCGGUCAGCAGCCCUCACUGGUCCCGGGCUGGAUGCUGUGCCCCGGCCGCUUGGUUGGGCAGGGCUGGCGUCCCCUAGAACCUUCUGAGGGAGGGGAGCCUGCAGGACGGGGUGGGUGGAAACAGAGACUUCAGCUCCACAAGCCCUGCCUGUGCCCACUCCUGGCUGCACAGCUACCUGUGGAGCUGCCCGUGUGGGCUGUGAUUCCUUGAGGGCUUGAGAGGGGCUGUUGUCAGCGGAGGUCCCAGGCUGGGUCUCCUUCCACACUGGGCUGGGAAGGAGGCUGUGUGGCUGAGUCGAGACGGAGGGUUUUAUAUCUAGAGAGAACACAUGCUGAAUAUCCACACAGAUACUGAGAUUGCUGAUGGAACUUGCACCUUUUGUAAGGUCAGUGAUCACAGUCCUGGCCAUCUCGUUUCUCUAAAAGAUAGUUUUCAGAAAAUGGCAAGUAUUAAAGCAAGUGUCUUCUCUAUGUUUUCUAAGAUAAGUAUUGUAGAAGAUUUUCUCUAUUUGUAUAAUGUCUUCAGCCUCACCUCACUGACACUCCUUGGUUUCAAGCAGUGUUACUAACACCCAGAGGUGACAGCCUACAGCAAAGGAGGAGAUCUGAGACUUUAAAAAGUCAGUAGUGUUCAGGAUUGACACUCUGGGGCCAUUUGAAUGGGAGGAAACAACCCCAACACAGCAGUGGCUUCUGAGAGUGCUCCCUGGCACCUGCCCCUGUCCCACAGCCACCGUGACGGUGCCAGGCCCUCUGCACAGGUGGGCUCACUGCAGCUGAGGGCUUGUGCCCGUCAUCCAGGGGCGUUUGUGUAGCCUUAGCCUCUCUGUGUCAACUAAUCAUGUUUGUAUUUUCUCCCCCUCACCUCAGGUUUCCUUAGGAAAUAAAGAAAGAAGCAAAGGUGUAUUCUACAAAGCACUUCAGAAUUGCCCUUGGGCAAAGGUAAGUGUUAAAGGCCAUGGUGUCUUCAGCUUCCCGAAAACUUCCCGCCAGGUCUCCGUCCAGCUAGUGUCUUCCCAGCCUGCCCCGCGGCACUGGGGAUGCUCGGCUCAUGGACGCCAUACCCUGUCCCAAGGUACAUCCAGAGCCUUUUCCUGGUGAAACUGUCCCCUGUGGAGUCAGAGCCUGGCCCUGCCUGGGGCUGGUGCUUCAUGGAAGUGUUGCCGUGGGUAGCUGGUUUCCCAGCAUUUGGUCAGAGUCCAGCCCAGAUGCUGAAAGAGUUGGGAUCAUGUCCCAGCCUGGCUGUGAGAGCCCAGGUCAGGUGACACUCAGAAGUGAAACUGAGGGCGACGGCCAGCAAUUCCUGGACCCCUUUUAAAAGAGAAGGCCUCGCUUGGCGUUUGCUCACUUUUGCGAGUUCAGUGUCCUUCCUGAACAUGCCCAGUGCUGCCCGAGUUAAGAAAGUCUCAGCCAAGGGGAGCAGGGGCUGUGGAGGGCGACAGGAGGGCAGGGUCACCAGGAACCUGGCCCUUGCUUCCUGAGCUCCUCCAGGCUGACAGGAAGUGGCGGCUGAGUAAGGCGGCCUUCCUGCCUGCCCCUAGGUGUUGUACCUGGACGCUGUGGAGUAUUUCCCCGAUGAGAUGCAGGAGAUCCUGGACCUGAUGACUGAGAAGGAGCUCCGGGUGCGCCUGCCGCUGGAGGAGCUGGAGCUGCUGCUGGAGGAUUAGAGAGCAGUGGGAAAACGGGCUGUGCCUGUGAGGCCAAGUUGCCCACCCUGCGGAGCUAGGAGGUGCGAGUAGAGAACGUGUGUGUUAGGAGAACUCGGCUUUUGAAAUGUUCUUUCUCGAUAGUAAUAAUGUGGGCUGCCAGCCUCUCACAUCUUGCACACUUUUUGGGUGUGUAAAUGACACAAAAGCUAUUUACAUAUUAUAUAUGUGAAUAUGUGUAUAUAUGUACAUAGCCAGAGAGUCAUGCCACGUGGUCAUUAAACCGAUGAUGAUUGAGG
rnacentral:sRNA from 1 species